GUAGCAGCUGGAAGGAAGUUGCGUGUACGCCCUGUGCACAAAAAGUAGGAGCAAUCGCAGCCGAAGGCCGAAGUAUUCACGAUGAUCCUUCACGAGAACCAUCUAUAAACUUUAAGCAUUCCCGACUGCCCGCAUUUUUUGGGCCUUACUCUUCUUAGUUUUUAGCCAUAAGCAGAAACUAACCAUAAACUAAAAUUUGAAACGAGCGAACGUAAAUCAAAUAAACAUAAAUAAUAAUAAAUAAUAGUUAGCAGUGUGUAAGUGCGUCCAGUUGUAAUCCGUAGUUUGUAACACAAGGCAUAAGCACAACUAUGACAAAUGUCCUAUGGCGAUUUCAGUUUCCACUUUUAUACAAAUGUAAAAAUGUUUACAAGCAAUUUUAUGUAAUACCUAUAUGAUAUUUAGUGUGUAAAUUCGUCUUUUUAUCGAAAAAAAGGAAAACGCAAAACGCAGAACGAAAUACGAAUGAAAAUAAAUAAAUGGUAUGCAUUUUUAUUUAAAAAGAAAACAA